rnacentral:rRNA from 1 species
GACAGAGGUGCCGAGCGUUAGGCGGAAUCACUGGGCUUAAAGCGUGUGUAGGCGGAUCGUUAAGUACCUUGUGAAAUCCCACGGCUCAACCGUGGAACUGCUGGGUAUACUGGCGGUCUUGAGCCACCUAGGGGCGAGCGGAACAAGCGGUGGAGCGGUGAAAUGCGUAGAUAUCGCUUGGAACGCCAACGGUGAAAACAGCUCGCUGGGGGUGUGCUGACGCUGAGGCACGAAAGCCAGGGGAGCGAACGGG